rnacentral:rRNA from 1 species
UGGGGAAUUUUGGACAAUGGGCGAAAGCCUGAUCCAGCCAUGCCGCGUGAGUGAAGAAGGCCUUCGGGUUGUAAAGCUCUUUUAGUCGGAAAGAAAGAGUUGCAAUGAAUAAUUGUGAUUUAUGACGGUACCGACAGAAAAAGCACCGGCUAACUUCGUGCCAGCAGCCGCGGUAAUACGAAGGGUGCAAGCGUUACUCGGAAUUACUGGGCGUAAAGGGGGCGCAGGCGGCCUUGCAAGUCAGAGGUGAAAGCCCGGGCUUAACCUGGGAAUUGCGUUUGAAACUACAAGGCUAGAGUGCAGCAGAGGGGAGUGGAAUUCCAUGUGUAGCAGUGAAAUGCGUAGAGAUGUGGAAGAACACCGAUGGCGAAGGCAGCUCCCUGGGUUGACACUGACGCUCAUGCACGAAAGCGUGGGGAGCAAACA